rnacentral:lncRNA from 1 species
AUUAGGUUUAACAGCCAUGAUUUGAUCAACCAUAGUUGUAUACAAAGAAUGACAUUCGAUAGAACGUGACAUAGGUUUAUAACACACAUGUUUAUUACCCAUAUUGGGUUUUUUUUAUAAUUUCAAUUAAGCCUGCUUUACUUAAAUAUCUAUUUAGACAAAUCUACUUUCGCUUUUCGUUGCCACUGCAUGUGUAAAACUCCAAAGUUUUUACCUUUUACUAUAAUAUUAUGUACUCAUUAACCAAUGUAGAUCCGUGAGCGAAUUUACAAAAGAAAAAGAAAUGAAAUCAUUAAAAUGCUGUGAAUACUUUCUAUAUUUUACCAAUAAUAGUAAUUACAAUUGAUCAGGAAGAGAGUGGUUUUUAUAGUAAUGGCCACUCCAAAUUUCAAUUGACCAGUAUUUGCCGGUAUUUCCCAGUAUUUCCCGGUAUUUACCACUGGCAUGGUCAAUACUAGAAUUGACCGCUUUUUUGCCAACCUUGAUUCCUGGGAUAAGAAAAUCCUUAGUUUUUUCGAAAAAUUCAAAGUUUUGUAACAGAAAAUUUAUAAAAAUGACCAUAUACGUGUAAUUUGAUAUUCAUGUCAACACCGAAGCGCUGACUACUGGGCUGGUGAUACCUGGUGAAACAUGUGCUAUUUUAAGAUUCUGUUUAUUCUUUUCAUUGAAAGCCACAAUUUUGGAUUUUAGAAAUCAUGCGUAUGAAAUGUAUCAAAGUUUCAUUUCAUUUUUAAAUAGCAUUUUCUUGAAAUCUUUUCCUUUUUUCAGGUUAAGGAAAAACCGACAACAUUUGACAGAUACUCUGUUGUGUUUGCUUCUCGAUGGUCAUUUUUAUAUCAAUUGUUUAUUAUUUUAAGUUAUUCUUGCAAUAUUCCUUUUUUUAAAUUUUAGUUAUAUUACAGUAUGACUUUUUUAACAAUAUUAUAGGAUUAUUGCAUGAAUAUUGGGGAAUAAUUUAAUUUUGGAUGUAACGCGUCUUUUGAUUGGCUGACGUUAUUAUGUUAUGAGCCCAUAGACAUAAUUUAGGCAUGUGACCGUGACGUCAUCAACGUUUAUUCAUGGUUUUCUAUGGUUUAAAAUGGAAUUUAAAAUUAAAUUAAAAUGUAUAAGAAAUGACUGUAAUAUUUUUUCUGUCUAUUCGAAAUAACAUGAAAAAUGUGGUGCACACUGUUAAAUAACCCGCUACGCACGUUAUUCAGUGUGCACCACAUUUUUUAUGUUAUUUCUUCAUAGACAGAAAAAAUAUUGCAGUCAUUCCUUAAACGUUGUCCCGAGUAGAUUUUUAUAUUGCACGAGCUUGUGAGUGCAAUAUAUGUUCUACGAGGGACAAUAUUCCCCAAUAUUCAUGCAAAAACCCUUUUAUUGUAUAGCAAUAUAAUAUUUGAAAGUAAAAAUUGGUUUAAACUAAGAUUUUGUCGUUGAUGACGUCAUGAAUUUUUAUGAUUUAUUGCACUAGUGGCUACUUUCUGUGGGAAAUAUUACAUUACUAUGCAAUAAAACUUAAUAUAACUUAGUAAAACAAUGCAUACAAUUUUAAUAUUAUUACUUAUCCCAAUGACAAUUUUCAUAUUCUGCAAAAAUUAUUUUGUUAAAAAAAACGAGAUGCCAAGCAGGCAGUCAUUCUACAUGAGAUAAUCAAUUGUGAUCUAUUUGUGUUUAGCAUUUAACACAUAAUACCAUGAAAAACACUUGUUGUUUAUUUGUCGUUGAUAUUUCCGAUUUAGUUUCCAGAAACCACACGUUAGGGGUUGAAGUGUUCUUUUGAACUGUUUAUUAAUGUCGCAAUGAUAUAGUUUGGACCCUGAAUCGAUGAUAAGGGCCCUAUAAAUUCACAUUGGUCGUUCUAGAUGGGGAUUUUAUUUUGAUUCUAUAAAUUAGUUAAUUCAUUCAACAAAAAAUGUUUUUUUUUAUAAAAAUCUCACACAUUUUUAGAUCUUUUUUUAAUUUUUAACGUUUAGAAAAAUAGAAUGAUAUAUUGGUAAAUAUUCAAUUUCAAAUUGAUUCACAGAGUAAAAUUUUGAGAUAUAGAUUUCAGACUUGUUAAAAAUCAUAGAUUUUAUGAAACAUCUGUUAUGUUUGUAUUCUUUCGUUCUAUUUAAGGUCAUGGCAAGUAACUGGACGGUAUGCGGUGUAUGUGAUUCACUAGAAACUACAAAACCAUCAGUUGUUUGGUGUUCCGAAUGUGACGAAGGUCUAUGCACUGAAUGUGACAUACAUCAUUCUGUUUCUAAGGCAAGUCGUAAUCACAGCACAAUCCCUAUUUCCGAAUAUAAUAAGUAACCAACAGACAUUUUGCAAAUUACACACAAUUGCAUAAGACACAAUGAAAAAUUCCAAACAUACUACAGAAAGCAUGACUGUCCUUGCUGUCAUAUAUGCGUUAUUAUGAAGCAUAAUGAUUGUAAAGAUAUCACUGCAAUUGAUGACAUCAUAAAAGAUGUAAAGUCGUCAAGUGCACUAUACGAUAUCGAACUGAUGCUUGUGGAAGUAGCCGAAAAUUUAGAGAAAAUUACAAAAGAUCGAAUAAAUAAUCUUACGUCGUUGAAAGACCAGAGAAGACGUAUAGAGAAUGAAAUCAAACAAACAAGGAUGAAAAUAAACAGUCACCUAGACCAAAUCCAAGAAGACCUGAUGAAGGAUUUGAAUAUUACGGAGGAUAGAGAAAGAAAGAAAAUUGAAGAUUUACUGACUUCAUUGGAGAAAACCAAAAAGAAAUUCAAUGUACACAAAACGACUAUUUCUAAUGUCAAGCAGUAUGCUUCAGAAUUUCAAACAUUUUUAGCAAUGAAAACAAUGGAAACUAAUGUUUCUAAUGAAGAAAGAUUUUUGGAAACAUUAGCAACCUCCAAAAGUCUCCGGCAGAUUGCAUUGUCAGUGAAAUAUGAUGGAGCUUUACAAACGAUUUAUAAUUUCAAAUCUAUUGGACAUAUAGAAGUUGAAAUGAUACCCAGUGAAAUAAUUAUGACAAGAAUGAAGCGGAAACAAGCCCAGCUGGAAGUAAUCAGUAAAUCAGCAAGAUUAAUUGAAGAUAUACAAUUGAACUUGAAACAAACUAUUAAAACAGGAUUGUCCAAGACCACAUGCUGUUUAAUACUACCUAAUGACAGAUUGGUACUUUCUUGACGAGGCAAUAACAUUGUACGAGUUUUCAAAAAUGAUGGGAACAAAGAUUUUGAAAUAGUUCUUAAACCAUUCAAUAUUAUUUACAUAGACUUUGAUUCAGAAAACAAUACUAUUGUUGCAACAUCUGGUGAGUCAGGCGAGCACUUUAUCAAUGUUAUUAAUAUGCAGGAUAGAAAAAUCAGCAGACAGAUAAGUGUGAAUUCGUCGUAUUAUGGAGUAGUGUAUACUGACUGUAGGUUUGUCACUUGUGCAAAAAAUUAAGGUUUACACAUAAUAAAAAAGGAAGUAGUGAAGUUAUUGAAGAAAUAAAAAACAAAGAAAUAUCCGCAUUUUCAUACGUUGCAGCUUUUGCCAACAAACUGUAUUACACAAAUAUCAACCUACAUACAUGUUGUGAUAUAUGAAAAGAAAAGAACUUUAGACAUUUAAGGACAAGAGCGUUCUGCUGUCACCAAGAGGUAUCACUGUUGACAAUGAUGGUAAUAGUUAUGUAUCAAGUUGUGGUACUGCUAAAGAUAUUGUGAUAUCAUCUGAUGGAUAACGAUGUUUAGAACUGUUGAGCGCGAAAGAUGGACUAUAUAACCCACGUGUACUUCACUAUGAUCGACCAACAAAUCAAUUACCAGUGGCAAAUAAUGGGGAUACCGCCCUCCUUUUUCAUGUCACAACCAAAAAUUAGAAACCAAUCAAUACAACAUGGAGAUAGAUGUUUAUACUGAUAAAACCUGAUAUGAAAAGUAUUCAAUGACAAUAUUCAUAACAAACUUACAAUCAUUAUGACUAUGAUAAAUGUUAAAUCAGUUGCCAAUUUUGGAAAAAAAUGUUUAUCCCCAGCUUAGUAUAUUUUUAGGAUUCUGAUUAGUUAACGCUCGUCGUUACAAAACCUCAAGCCACGGGUUGGAGCUGACCCACAUACCCUUGCGUUGCUUUCCAUCACAC